rnacentral:rRNA from 1 species
GAUGAACGCUAGCGGCAGGCCUAAUACAUGCAAGUCGAACGGUGUCUUCGGACAUAGUGGCGCACGGGUGCGUAACACGUAUGCAACCUACCUUACAUUGGGGGAUAGCCUUUCGAAAGGGAGAUUAAUACCGCAUAAGACAGUAGCUGGGCAUCCAGCAGCUGUUAAAGAUUUAUCGAUGUAAGCUGGGCAUGCGUCCAAUUAGCUAGUUGGUGAGGUAACGGCUCACCAAGGCAAUGAUUGGUAGGGGAACUGAGAGGUCAAUCCCCCACCCGGGCACUGAGAUACGGGCAAGACUCCUACGGGAGGCAGCAGUAGGGAAUAUUGGGAAAUGGACGCAAGUCUGACCCAGCCAUGCCGCGUGCAGGAUGAAGGCGUUAUGCGUUGUAAACUGCUUUUAUACAGGAAGAAACGACUCUUGCGAGAGGCAUUGACGGUACUGUAUGAAUAAGCACCGGCUAACUCCGUGCCAGCAGCCGCCGUAAAAC